CAGCCGCCACGGGAAUACGUAGGGUGCAAGCGUUAAUCGGAAUUACUGGGCGUAAAGCGUGCGCAGGCGGUUUGUUAAGACAGAUGUGAAAUCCCACGGCUCAACUGUGGAGGGUCAUUGGAAACUGGAAAACUUGAGUGCAGAAGAGGAAAGUGGAAUUCCAUGUGUAGCGGUGAAAUGCGCAGAGAUCUGGAGGAAUACCGGUGGCGAAGGCGGCCCCCUGGACAAAGACUGACGCUCAGGUGCGAAAGCGUGGGGAGCAAACAGGAUUAGAUACCCCUGUAGUCCCUGUCUCUUAUAC
rnacentral:rRNA from 1 species